rnacentral:misc_RNA from 1 species
GAUGAAGAACGUAGCGAAAUGCGAUACUUGGUGUGAAUUGCAGAAUCCCGCGAAUCAUCGAGUUUUUGAACGCAAGUUGCGCCCGAAGCCAUUUGGCCGAGGGCACGUCUGCCUGGGUGUCACGCAUCGUUGCCCCCCCAAACUCCGGUUCGGGCGGGGCGGAAGUUGGCCUCCCGUGCGUGCCUGCGCGCGCGGUUAGCCCAAAAGCGAGUCCUCGGCGACGAGCGCCACGACAAUCGGUGGUUUUUUUACCCUCGUUCCUCGUCGUGCGUGUCCCGUCGCCCGAACGCGCUCUUGUGACCCUCACGCGUCGCCUCGGCGGCGCUCCCAACGCGACCCCAGGUCAGGCGGGACUACCCGCUGAGUUUAAGCAUAUCAAUAAGCGGAGGA